rnacentral:ncRNA from 1 species
AAAAGACUUAGUCCUAACCUUACUGUUAGUUUCUGCUAGACAUAUACAUGCAAGUAUCCGCGGCCCAGUGUAAAUGCCCCAGACCUCUUACCAAGACAAAAGGAGCAGGCAUCAGGCACGCCCACCUCAGCCCAAAACGCCUUGCUUAGCCACACCCCCACGGGUAUUCAGCAGUAGUUGACAUUAAGCAAUAAGCGCAAGCUUGACUUAGUCAUAGCAGCAGCUCAGGGUUGGUAAAUCUUGUGCCAGCCACCGCGGUCAUACAAGAAACCCAAACUAACAGUCACACGGCGUAAAGAGUGGGACAACAACUAUCACAGCAACUAAGAUCAAAAUGCAACUAAGCUGUCAUAAGCCAAAGAUGCCCCUAAAUCCAACCUCAAGACGAUCUUAGCACCCACGAUCAACUAAUUCCCACGAAAGCUAGGGCACAAACUGGGAUUAGAUACCCCACUAUGCCUAGCCCUAAAUCUCGAUGCCUACCCCUACCAAAGCAUCCGCCUGAGGACUACGAGCACAAACGCUUAAAACUCUAAGGACUUGGCGGUGCCCCAUACCCCCCUAGAGGAGCCUGUUCUAUAAUCGACAACCCACGAUACACCCGACCAUUCCUUGCCAAAGCAGCCUACAUACCGCCGUCGCCAGCUCACCUCAGCUGAGAGCACAACAGUGAGCACAAUAGCCCCCCUCCGCUAACAAGACAGGUCAAGGUAUAGCCUAUGGAAUGGGAGAAAUGGGCUACAUUUUCUAACAUAGAAAAUCACGGAAGAGGACAUGAAACUGUCCCCAAAAGGCGGAUUUAGCAGUAAAGCGAGACAAUAGUGCUCCCUUUAAACUUGGCCCUAGGGCACGUACAUACCGCCCGUCACCCUCCUCACAAGCCACAACCCCCAAUACUUAAUACACCCUUCAGCUGAAGAUGAGGUAAGUCGUAACAAGGUAAGUGUACCGGAAGGUGCACUUAGCACACC